rnacentral:lncRNA from 10 species
UUAGAAUAUAUUCAACAGAGUACACUGCACUUUACUUUCUAUAAAUCUGUGCAGUGAGUUUCUGUGUUUGGAAUGAUUACACUAGACAAGGGGUUGGCAAAUGUUUUCUGUAAAGGACCAGGUAGUAAUUUUUUUUUCUUUGUUUCACCAGCCAUGCAGCCUCUGUCACACCUAUCUACUCUGAUAUUGAAAACAGCCGUAGACAAUAAGAAAACAGACUUGAUCAUUCCUUCAGAUAUUUGUUGAAAGCACUGAAACAGCCACUGAAGGGUGGGAAUGAAUCCACAAAUGAAGGUGACAGCCUAUGAGCAAAAGCGAUAAUGACGAGAUGAUUAUAACAGAGGCUCCUCAGAGAAAUGCUACAUACAUUCCAUCCAGGGUUUUAACUUCCUUCAUAGAGAGAGACAGAGUGGAAUAUGUUUACUCCACCUUGACUAGACAUCCCAGAAAGGACGGGAUAUCCCAGAAAGGAUGUCUUCAUUACUGUAAGAAGAUUGGCUUCAUGACUAAAAGUAUCCAGAAACUUUUUAUCUGAAACUUGAGAAAGUCAUUGGACCCAUCUUAGAUUUCACCCGAGAGCUGGGGGAGAAAAGAAUAAAGUUGUUUUAUGAAGUGUCUUUCAACUUAAUGCUUCCAUAUGGUUAAAUUUUUAAAAGGAAUAUUUACAAGUAUUUCACCUUAGUAAUCAAUUCUACAGAGCCAGCAGGAAAAAAAAAAAGUCAGUCUGAAAAUACUUGAAAUGCUUAAUUAUUUUUCAGAGUAGACAGUAAGGAAGAAAAGGCCCCAGAUCCUAACUUUGGCUCUCCGCUUCACUGAAUUACCAAAAUAAGGGAAGUCUUCAGCCAUGGCUUCAGAUCAGGACAAGAAGGGAACUUCAUCAUGCCCGUGUUAUUGUUGGGGGAUUGAUCCAAAAAGAAAAGACCUAAGUUUCAGCUGGUCCCAAACCAUGGAGAAUUUUACCCACACAAAGCCCCCAUUUGCCAAUGCAAAUCUGGUAAUUGGACACUUAAUUACCCUAUUUGCACACAUAAAUGAGGGGUGUUCCUGCAAGAAAUCAGAGUCCACUCUUACAACUUUGGCCGCAAGCAAUGAAACCACAUGCUUUUGUCAACAGUUAAGUUGAUUAGAAUUGUGUUUAUUUCUGCUCGUGUUAGGCCACAUGUAUUUUCAUUGGAGCCUGAUGUCUAUUGAGUUAAAAGCUUAGUUUAAAAAACCUAUGUUAUGCAGAAAACCUAGAUAGUAAUUGCCAACUAUGUGCCAAGAAUCCUUUCAUCAUGUAGAGAAUACAAG